GAGUGUUGUCGUACCUUAAGGUGACAGAGCAGAUUUACAGUCAAUAGUUUUAGAUCCAAAAGACAAACCCUCAGUUCACAGAUGAAACCUCUUUAAAAGUAUCACCACAGACCUGCGACGUAGGCGUGCAGACCCUGGAUCUCUAUCACCUGCUGGCCCAGAGUGUGGCGCCCUGGAGGGAGACCCAUCGCUGUGAUCGCAUCUGUCACCAACACCAGACCUGGAAGGACACACAGACGAGACAGACGACACGUCCAGCUCAGCAGGUGUUUGGUCUCCAGCCAAACACACAUCAACAUGUUGACCUGAUGAUUACAGACGAUUAAAAUCGUUCUUGAAAAGCAGUUUCUGCAGACAGCAGAAAUGCUGCUUCAUCAUGUAAAACCCAGCGGGGAGAGACUGAAGGAGGAUGAGGAGGGUGAGGAGUGAGAGAAACAUGCUGUUCUAUUUUUACGGCCUCCUGAACACCCAGAGAAAACUUGAGCAGAGAGAGUACCAGCUGUUACGCUUACUAAUGACGGCUAACUGGGCUCACUGGGCUGUGUGAAGUGUGUGUCCUCAGCUGGGGACGCCAGCUGUAUACACUACCUAACAAACUGAGAUGAUGCUCGUGACAAGGAUGUGAUAAAACAUUAGAGUUCUGGUGAUGCACGAUCAUCCUGAAGGACAAACACAUCAUCAAGGUCACAUCCUGUCUGUUAAUAAGCAUCUCUGGAGAGUCUGAAGGUGAGUUUAAAUAAGCAUCAAUUUUCCAUCCUGCACCGUGAAAACGUUCCCUUUGAUGUCUGCAGUUUAUUCUGAUGGGGACACAUUUCCACUUGAUUCCUGAUACCGACCUGAGGGAUGAGCUCUGUGAGCGAUGCGGAGGGCGGCAGGAUUGGUGUGGAUCCCGUCAGCAAUCAUUCCGUAGUAGACCGUCCUGCCUGCAGGGACCCGGUCGCUGGUCAGGAGCCCCACGAUGCCCGGGUCACGAUGGUGGAACUGGAUCACACCGAAUCACAUGCAAAUGAGGAAAGUAGCAAGAAGUUGAAGAAGAAAGUGAACAGGAGGUUUGUGUUUAUAGGGAAGAUUUAAAAGCUGUUGGGUGAGCUCUGGAAGAAGAAGUGUGUCUCACUUCUCGUUCUCAGGAGGAGAGAGAGUGAAUCAAAUAACUGAAAUAGGCCACGGAGAGAUCCACUUCAGUUUCAGUGCUAAUAACUGGAUACCCGUCGGGUGCAAUAACUUUAUAUUUCUACAGACUUUCUCCUGCACAGAUCUUUCUUUGCUGUUUUUGUUAUUUUUUAAUUACUUCUUUAUUGAGGAAGAGCAAUCACUUUACAGUCAGUGUGUAUUCUACUGCAGAAUGUAACAUGUAUAGUAGGCAGAACAUACUUGAUAGUUCUUCAGCAAUUUAACUCUUCAAUUAUUUCUUUUAAUGAAACUUAAGACGAACGGGCCUUACGUCUAAACAGCUGCAGAGUCCUCUGGUGCCUGCGCAAAGUUGACAAGCUAAUCACAAAACAAUCUAUGUUACUGGUGACGCUGCUUUCAGCCACUACGCUCCUAAACUAUGGAACAGCCUGCUGGAGGAUCUGAGAGGCGCUGAU